CCUAUUAUUUAUGCAUUGAUUAAGGUAUAUAGGGGUAGAUCAAUUCAAUGGCCUAAACUACUUCCAUUUUUUUUUUAGGCUGAUAGAACUAGUCACAAUACUGUCAUUGAUUAUAUAUCCAUGAAAUAAAUGUUAGGACAAAAAUCUAUGAUUCUAGUUGAAAAAACCUAUCUUAUAUGGAUGUUUUUAUCUUAAAAAGAUGACAUUAAUAAAAAAAGAUUAUUAGAAUUUUGAAUCCAAUAGUUAAGUAGGUUACUUGAAGAUGUGCAAAUUGCAGCUGAGAGAUUAAAAGAAGCAAGAUUGAAAAAUAAAGAAAGGUUUUAUAAGACUCAUAGGUUGAGGCCUAAGUCUAUAAAGAUUAGA
rnacentral:lncRNA from 1 species